UAGUCCACGCCGUAAACGAUGGAUACUAGCUGUCCGGAACCUUGAGUUCUGGGCGGCCAAGCGAAAGUGAUAAGUAUCCCACCUGGGGAGUACGUUCGCAAGAAUGAAACUCAAAGGAAUUGACGGGGGCCCGCACAAGCGGUGGAGCAUGUGGUUUAAUUCGAUGAUACGCGAGGAACCUUACCAGGGCUUAAAUGCAUAUUGACAGGUCUAGAGAUAGACUUUCCUUCGGGCAAUUUGCAAGGUGCUGCAUGGUUGUCGUCAGCUCGUGCCGUGAGGUGUCAGGUUAAGUCCUAUAACGAGCGCAACCCCUGCCGUUAGUUGCCAGCAUGUUACGAUGGGGACUCUAACGGGACUGCCGGUGCAAACCGUGAGGAAGGUGGGGAUGACGUCAAAUCAUCAUGGCCUUUAUGCCUAGGGCGACACACGUGCUACAAUGGUAAGUACAGAUGGUAGCGAAGCCGCGAGGUGUAGCCAAUCUGAGAAAGCCUAUCCCAGUUCGGAUUG
rnacentral:rRNA from 1 species